rnacentral:rRNA from 1 species
GAUGAACGCUGGCGGCGUGCUUAACACAUGCAAGUCGAACGAUGAAGCCCAGCCUGCUGGGCGGAUUAGUGGCGAACGGGUGAGUAACACGUGAGUAACCUGCCCUUGACUCUGGGAUAAGCCCGGGAAACUGGGUCUAAUACCGGAUAGGAGCGCCUGUCGCAUGACGGGUGCUGGAAAGAUUUUUCGGUCAUGGAUGGACUCGCGGCCUAUCAGCUUGUUGGUGAGGUAACGGCUCACCAAGGCGACGACGGGUAGCCGGCCUGAGAGGGUGACCGGCCACACUGGGACUGAGACACGGCCCAGACUCCUACGGGAGGCAGCAGUGGGGAAUAUUGCACAAUGGGCGGAAGCCUGAUGCAGCGACGCCGCGUGAGGGAUGACGGCCUUCGGGUUGUAAACCUCUUUCAGUAGGGAAGAAGCGAAAGUGACGUACCUGCAGACGAAGCC